rnacentral:siRNA from 1 species
UAACCCAUUCGAGUUCGGGUUUG